GACAUGGUGCCUGGUUGCUGGCGACUUACGACUGUACUGGUGACAAAAUGGUGGGGUUAUUGGCCUCUAUUUUAUAUUGAUUAAAGAGGAGGAAGGCUUUCCCACUCUUCCAGAGACAGACAGCUCUGGGAUCCAAUGAAAAGAAAAGAGCCAGCACAUCUCUGAUGCAAGGCAGGCCUUAGGCGAAUCCAGGGUUGAGGUUUUCCCUCCAAACAGGUGCAGGCCUCUCACCACCACAGGCACCCCCAUGGGGCUUCCCUGACAGUGGCAGCACUACCCCCCACCCCACCAAAAAAGUUGAGGAGGCACAGAAGGGGCAUAGUGCAUUCCAGGUUUCUAGGUGUUCAUCUCUAGGCCAAGAAACGUGGAACUGCUGCUCUGAAGUGAAUCCCUGGCUUGGUGACUGAAAAUGUCGACCCGAUGUAUGGCAGCUGUAAAGAAGGUUAAUUCUAUGUCCCCGUCUCAAAGUCAAAGCAUUUUUAAAAAUAUCCGCUUGAUCAAUCUUCAUUAUUGAAUCUCUGAAUCUGGAAGCCUCAGAAGAUAAGAUACAGCAUUUCGUGACAAUUGUUGGAUUAAUCCGUCCUUGGUCUGGAGCAGCUACAGUCAAAGGAGCUGGAUAAUUGUCUUGAUCACUGUGACUGAGUGGCCAGGGCCUGGACAAAAGAAUGCUCUGUUCCUUAAUGACUGCGGAUGGUUUCCUGAAUGGGCAAUUCACCUGCAGGAGUGGAGUCUUCCUGGGUCUUCUUCCAUUGAGCCCACUGUCACUCAAAAAGCAACGGAUGGUGCGAUCAGCCACUGAUGGACCUUGACCUUGGAGUUCAGCUUGUAUCUCUUUGGAAGUUGUCCUUGGCUUUUUGUCUACCAUUCUCACUAUCCUUCUGCCCAUUCUGGAGUUGAUUUUCCUCUUGCAGCUGCAUCCAGGGAGGUUGGCUAUAGUCCCAUGGAGCUGGAACUUCUUAAUAAUAUUUGCAACUGUUGUCACAGGAAUAUCAAACUGCUUGGAGAUGGUCUUAUGGCCUUUGCCUUUAACAUGCUUGUCUAUAAUUUUCUUUCUAAUCUCCUCAGACAACUCUCUCCUUUGCUUUCUCUGGUCCAUGUUCAUGUUGUUUUCUCUGGGACACACAAUGAUACCAAACAGCAGAGUGACUACUUUUCUCCAUUUAAAUAGGCUGAAUGACUGAUUGCACGAUUGGAGACGUGUGUGAUGAAAUGAAAGAAAACAGCUUAUUU